rnacentral:rRNA from 1 species
UCGGGAAUUUUGGGCAAUGGGCGAAAGCCUGACCCAGCAACGCCGCGUGAAGGAUGAAGUAUUUCGGUAUGUAAACUUCGUAAGAAUAGGAAGAAUAAAUGACGGUACUAUUUGUAAGGUCCGGCUAACUACGUGCCAGCAGCCGCGGUAAUACGUAGGGUGCAGGCGUUAAUCGGAAUUACUGGGCGUAAAGCGUGCGCAGGUGGCUCCUUAAGUCAGAUGUGAAAUCCCCGGGCUUAACCUGGGAACUGCGUUUGAAACUGGCAAUCUAGAGUCCGGAAGAGGUUAGUGGAAUUCCCAGUGUAGAGGUGAAAUUCGUAGAUAUUGGGAAGAACACCAGUGGCGAAGGCGGCUAACUGGUCCGGUACUGACGCUGAGGUGCGAAAGCGUGGGGAGCAAACAGGAUUAGAUACCCCUGUAGUCCCUGAGCGGGCUGGCAAGGCGCAU